rnacentral:rRNA from 1 species
CCCCCCUCUAAUCAGUGAAACUGAUCUCCCCGUGAAGAAGCGGGGAUAUACAUAUAAGACGAGAAGACCCCAUGGAGCUUUAAACCUGACAGCACCCGCUCAUUCUAUACCCCAUUAUUUGCCCGACCCCUGUCUGCUCAGUUUUAGGUUGGGGUGACCACGGAGUAUAAAAUAACCUCCAUGAAGAAGGGGAUAUUUCCCUUAUUAGAGAACUACACUUCCAAGAACUAAUAAAUUAAUUUUCAAUGACCCGAUACCCGAUAAUCGAUCAACGAACCAAGUUACCCUGGGGAUAACAGCGCAAUCCACCCUGAAAGCCCUUAUUAACAGGUGGGUUUACGACCUCGAUGUUGGAUCAGGGUAUCCCAGUGGUGCAGCAGCUACUGAGGGUUCGUUUGUUCAACGAUUAAAACCCU